UGACCUCUGACCUCAAA
rnacentral:rRNA from 1 species